GGGUCAGUAGGUUGGUCGUGCCACCGGUACGUACUGGUCUCACUGAUUCCUCCUUCCUGAAGAACCGUAAUGCCAUUAAUUUGGUGUUGCGGGGAAACAGGACUGUUACUUUGAAAAAAUUAGAGUGGUUAAAGCAAGCUAACGCUUGAAUACAUUAGCAUGGAAUAAUGAAAUAGGACGAUCGAUCCUAUUUUGUUGGUUUCUAGGAUUGACGUA
rnacentral:rRNA from 1 species